rnacentral:tRNA from 1 species
AUUUAUAUAGUUUAGAAAAACAUUACAUUUUCACUGUAAAAACAAAGGACACCUUUUAUAAAUA